rnacentral:lncRNA from 1 species
GUCUAAUUAUAUUUUUUACUAUUUUAACAAAUUUCAUAGCCCUCGAGUAUGAAAAAUAAGAAACAUCAUUAUAUUUUUAAAUAGGGUUGAGAUCCCUAUUCCUCACAAACACCUUGUAGAUAGCACAACAAGCAUUCAUGAGUUCAACAGUAAGUAACUCUUUAUCAAUUAUACUUUAUAUAAUUCUCAAAAAUUUUUUCUCUUGCCUUU